GGAACUGACGGGAAUGACCGUUUGAACCGAUCCCUUUCCGAAAGAACGCGUCCCGACGACGACGGCGCGUUUAUGAUCCUGCAAAGCGCCCGCGACAAUUUCGGCCGCCGAAGCGGAGCCUUCGUUGAUCAAAACGACAAUGGGAAUGUUUUUGGUGAUAUCGCCUUUUGUCGCGCUGUAACGCUGGAUUUCUUCGGGGCGGCGGGGGCGCGUGGAAACGAUCUCUCCUUCGUCAAGGAACAAAUCCGUGACGGAAACGGCCUGAUCCAAUAAUCCGCCCGGGUUGUUGCGC
rnacentral:ncRNA from 1 species